rnacentral:rRNA from 1 species
GACAGAGGGUGCAAACGUUGUUCGGAAUUACUGGGCGUAAAGCGCGUGUAGGCGGCCCGGAAAGUCGGAUGUGAAAGCCCUGGGCUUAACCUAGGAAGUGCAUUCGAAACUCCCGUGGCUUGAGUUCUGGAGCGGGAAGCGGAAUUCUCGGUGUAGAGGUGAAAUUCGUAGAUAUCGAGAGGAACACCGGUGGCGAAGGCGGCUUCCUGGACAGUGACUGACGCUGAGACGCGAAAGCGUGGGGAGCAAACAGG